CCAAAUAAAAAGAGAAGCCCAAGGCACUCUCUCAAUUCACAAACAAAGCAGAGAGAAAGAAGCGUAAUGGCAGCAGUGGGUGCACCUCGCGAAGUAGCCGGAAACGAGAACAGCCUCGAGAUCGAUAGUCUUGCUCGCUUUGCUGUCGAUGAACACAACAAGAAACAGAAUGGCCUUCUCGAGUUUAAGAGGGUUAUAAGUGCUAAGCAGCAAGUUGUUGCUGGGACUUUGCACCACAUCACUUUGGAGGCAGCAAGUGGUGAUAGUAAGAAUGUUUAUGAAGCCAAGGUGUGGGAAAAGCCAUGGAUGAACUUCAAGGAGGUUCAGGAGUUCAAGCUUGCUGGUGAUGGCUCCAAUGCUUAACCAGGUAUUUUAUUGCACUACAUGAUUCCUCCUGCCUGCAAUUUUCUUUUCAAAGUAACAAUUAAAAGUGCUUAUUAUUAUGUUUGCAAUUAGUUUGGAAACAAAGUUUGGAAUGAAAUAGAAAGAAUCAGAGAGACAACGAUGUUAAGUUUACAAUUAGUUUCUGGUCGAAUACAGGGCUUUAUCAUGUCAUUAAUUGUAAUGCUUCUGCUAUUGAUGGAUUCCAUCAUAUUGCUGCCUUAAAAUCUGAACUAGUUAGAGUGUGAGUUUAAUUACUUUCUAGUUGGAGGAAAAUGGGGUUGUUGUGCUUUAUGCCAAGUAAAGGUUCCUUUGAUCCAUAAGAUUAAACUCUCAUUGUCAUUUUAAUAUGAGAAAGUAUGAGGAGCAAAUGAAAUAUUUGUACAAUGUGUACAAUGGAGGUUUAGGGAGUAUUAGAGAUAUAAUCAUUAGUGUUACCUUUUCCCAUCAGCUUUUUGGGAUGAGUGGUAUCAUGACAUGGUAUAAGAACUCUAGAUCCGAAAGGUUAAGAGUUUGAUCCUUGGUGAACCCGAAAAUCAGUUUAAGCUUUUGGGAAGACAUUUAUUAUCCCUAGUACUCAGAUAGUUAUUCUAGAUAGUAUGAGGGAUGUUCAUUUUGUAACUCAUAUAGCCCAUUGUACACGGGACUCUUUUAAUAUUCAUUAUGAAUUUGCUGACAUAGUCAUGAUGCAUUAGUAGAUCCAUCUAAUAGCAAGACUAAAAUAGCUUACAAAGUGAACAACUUUUGAAAUCUUCAGAGACCCACGUGAUGGUGCUUAUAAACUCAAGUAUCAAAGUGAAACUUUACUCAACUUGAGCCUUUUGAUGUAGAGCUCCUUAAGAUAGGGCGAUUCAGAGCCUCGACCCACGACUCUAAGGUCCAAAACAUCUAUAAUAAUGUGCUUUGAGAAAAGAGGUAUUACCUUGUGAGAGUAUGAGUUCAUGUGCAAAGACAUCACAGCCAAGCUUACUCCCUCUCAAAAUAUCUCACCAAUUUUUUUUUUUCUUUUAUUUUCAUUUUUCUUUAAGGGGGAAAAGAGAAAAUGUUGCCUCACUAUUGGGAUUUUUUUAAAUAAAUAAGAUUUUUUUUUAUUUAUAGAUAUGUUUAUGGAUCUUACUUAGUCCAGCAAGUUUUUGACUUUAUCAGUGGUUAGCUUUAGCAGUCAGUUAAACUU